UACGUAGGUGGCAAGCGUUAUCCGGAAUUAUUGGGCGUAAAGCGCGCGCAGGUGGUUCCUUAAGUCUGAUGUGAAAGCCCCCGGCUCAACCGGGGAGGGUCAUUGGAAACUGGGGAACUUGAGUGUAGAAGAGGAAAGUGGAAUUCCACGUGUAGCGGUGAAAUGCGUAGAGAUGUGGAGGAACACCAGUGGCGAAGGCGACUAACUGGACAUGUAUUGACGCUGAGGUGCGAAAGCGUGGGGAGCAAACAGG
rnacentral:rRNA from 1 species